UUAUUUGCGGAUGCGGCAUCACCAAGAUUCACAAACUUUAUAAAGGGCUUCAUUGAGUGAAAAUGGUACUCGAAAAGUUCCUUUCAAAGUGGGAAUCUUGAUGAUGCUGCAUCAGCUAAUAU
rfam:Cephalotus follicularis DNA, scaffold: scaffold1772, isolate: St1.